rnacentral:miRNA from 1 species
AAACACAGAAUGGGUAUGAGUG